ACCGGUUACAAGCCAGGAGACAUAAAAGCUGGUCAGUUGCUCUCCCUUUUCUAAGCUUGAUGCUUCUUUUCUAUUGCUUUUAUAAAAACUGUGGGAGCUCAGAUGACCGCCAGCAUCUCAUGUAACACUGCACCAUUGCUUAUAUAGACCGGUGAAUGGUAUUGUGCAAAACUGCAAGACUAACAACAGCAACGGUUGAAAAGAAACAUUGUACCAGUAUCUGCUUCUGAGAGGAUACAUAGACACGUGUCAUAAAAUAUAAGAAUUUGAUCUUCUGUUAUUAAUUUUAAGGUGUACAAUUUCAGAGCCCACAUACAGACAACAUACUAUACACUGUAACUGAAUCAGCAGAGAACUGCAACGCUUUGAGCAAGAAAUAAUAGCCAGGAGUCAGAGGGCAAAAAUGGGAUCUAAAUUAAGUCGGCUUUGUCGCUGAAACCUGUGUGUUUGUAUGACUCACCAAAAACUCUCUACCAAGCAGGUAGGAGUUAUAACCAUCUGUUACUUCAUGGGUCAGUGUGAAUGGUAUUCAGUAUUAAGCAAUAUUUCUAAAAAUGAUGGAACUACUCAUAAAGCAACUUCAGUAUGAUCAAGGAAAAGAAAAAUGGCACAGCUGGAAAUGUAAUUAUUGUUCACCUGCUGUAAAAAACCCAUGAAAAAUACCACUACAACCAACCUUUUCAUUGCUUUUAUAAAAAAUUCAACAGUAGAAAUGAGCUUUUCAUACACACAAAAUUAAUGUCAAAGUAAAAUAAAAUAUUUUUAACAAAAAUAACCCCUGCAAAAUCCCUAUUUAAACUAAUUUCUGCUUCUUUG